rnacentral:lncRNA from 1 species
GCUAACAGUGCUUUUGUAUAGCACUAAGAUCACACUUUCUACGGAUCAACUGCAUAUGCUAAUCCAGUUUCCGCUUUUUGUUGAUCUUGAAAGAAAUCCCUCUUUUGUUGCUCUCUCACUGUUGAAAGCAAUAGUGAGUAGGAAGUUGGUAGUUGCGGAAAUCUAUGAUAUAGUUAAACGUGUUGCAGAGUUGAUGGUGUCACUGUUGAAAGCAAUAAUGAGUAGGAAGUUGGUAGUUGCGGAAAUUUAUGAUAUAGCUAAACGUGUUGCAGAGUUGAUGGUGACUAGUCAAGUUGAAUCAAUUCGU